rnacentral:rRNA from 1 species
GGGUUGUGAGGUUAAGCGACUAAGCGUACACGGUGGAUGCCCUGGCAGUCAGAGGCGAUGAAGGGCGUGCUAAUCUGCGAUAAGCGCCGGUAAGGUGAUAUGAACCGUUAUAACCGGCGAUACCCGAAUGGGGAAACCCAGUGUGACUCGUCACACUAUCAUUAACUGAAUCCAUAGGUUAAUGAGGCGAACCGGGGGAACUGAAACAUCUAAGUACCCCGAGGAAAAGAAAUCAACCGAGAUUCCCCCAGUAGCGGCGAGCGAACGGGGAGGAGCCCAGAGCCUGAAUCAGCAUGUGUGUUAGUGGAAGCGUCUGGAAAGGCGCGCGAUACAGGGUGACAGCCCCGUACACAAAAGCGCAUGUGCUGUGAGCUCGAUGAGUAGGGCGGGACACGUGGUAUCCUGUCUGAAUAUGGGGGGACCAUCCUCCAAGGCUAAAUACUCCUGACUGACCGAUAGUGAACCAGUACCGUGAGGGAAAGGCGAAAAGAACCCCGGCGAGGGGAGUGAAAAAGAACCUGAAACCGUGUACGUACAAGCAGUGGGAGCACAGGUUUACCUGUGUGACUGCGUACCUUUUGUAUAAUGGGUCAGCGACUUAUAUUCUGUAGCAAGGUUAACCGAAUAGGGGAGCCGGAGGGAAACCGAGUCUUAAUUGGGCGUUAAGUUGCAGGGUAUAGACCCGAAACCCGGUGAUCUAGCCAUGGGCAGGUUGAAGGUUGGGUAACACUAACUGGAGGACCGAACCGACUAAUGUUGAAAAAUUAGCGGAUGACCUGUGGCUGGGGGUGAAAGGCCAAUCAAACCGGGAGAUAGCUGGUUCUCCCCGAAAGCUAUUUAGGUAGCGCCUCGUGAACUCAUCUCCGGGGGUAGAGCACUGUUUCGGCUAGGGGGCCAUCCCGGCUUACCAACCCGAUGCAAACUGCGAAUACCGGAGAAUGUUAUCACGGGAGACACACGGCGGGUGCUAACGUCCGUCGUGAAGAGGGAAACAACCCAGACCGCCAGCUAAGGUCCCAAAGUCAUGGUUAAGUGGGAAACGAUGUGGGAAGGCCCAGACAGCCAGGAUGUUGGCUUAGAAGCAGCCAUCAUUUAAAGAAAGCGUAAUAGCUCACUGGUCGAGUCGGCCUGCGCGGAAGAUGUAACGGGGCUAAACCAUGCACCGAAGCUGCGGCAGCGACACUGUGUGUUGUUGGGUAGGGGAGCGUUCUGUAAGCCUGUGAAGGUGUGUCGUGAGGCAUGCUGGAGGUAUCAGAAGUGCGAAUGCUGACAUAAGUAACGAUAAAGCGGGUGAAAAGCCCGCUCGCCGGAAGACCAAGGGUUCCUGUCCAACGUUAAUCGGGGCAGGGUGAGUCGACCCCUAAGGCGAGGCCGAAAGGCGUAGUCGAUGGGAAAC